rnacentral:rRNA from 1 species
AUGUGCCGAGAGGUGAAACAUUUAUCGUCUGAAGAUGGGCUCGCGGCUGAUUAGCUAGUUGGUGUGGUAAUGGCUUACCAAGGCUUCGAUCAGUAACUGGUCUGAGAGGAUGAUCAGUCACACUGGAACUGAGACACGGUCCAGACUCCUACGGGAGGCAGCAGUGGGGAAUUUUCCGCAAUGGGCGAAAGCCUGACGGAGCAAUACCGCGUGAAGGAAGAAAGGCCUUGGGUUGGUAACCUCUUUUCUCGGGAAUAAAAAAUGAAGGUACCCUAGGAAUAAGCCACGGCUAACUCCGUGCCAGCAGCCGCGGUAAUACGGAGGAUGCAAGCGUUAUCCGGAAUUAUUGGGCGUAAAGAGUCCGUAGGUGGCCCUUCAAGUCUGCUGUUAAAAAAUGGAGCUUACUUCCUCCAAGGCGGGGAAACCUGAGCAACUAAAUGGGGGUAGGGGUAACGGAAAUUCCGGUUGUACCGUGAAAUUGCUUAAUAUUGGAAAAACCAUCGGUGGCAAAGGCCUCUUACUGGCCCCAACCUA